rnacentral:piRNA from 1 species
AUGGACAAGUGGUCACCUGCCAUGGA